GGAGUUGUGAUUAGAACCCAUGACCUCUGACUCCCAAGCCUGUGCUUUUUCCACUGAGCCACGAACCAGCAAUAGCAAAAGAAGGUGUCCCUCAUGCUGCUGUUUUGAGAUUCGGCAAUCACACAAAAAUCCUGUGAUCAUCAGUCCACGGUCUUCAUGGUUUUAUAAAGGUCUAGUAUAUGCUUCCUGAAAUGUGGGGAUGAGAACUGCUCUUGGAAUCCCAGAUAUGGAUAUAUAUAACCUAGUGUUGUGGCCUUGAGCAAGUCACUUCACUUCUCUGUGCCUCAGUUCUCAUCUGUAAAAUGGGAAUUGAAAAACU